rnacentral:rRNA from 1 species
GAGUUUGAUCGUGGCUCAGGAUGAACGUUAGCGGCGUGCCUAACACAUGCAAGUCGAACGAACAGCCAGAAUCUUAGGAAUCUGGCGGGUUAGUGGCGCACGGGUGAGUAACACGUAGGUGACCUGCCCCGAAGUGGGGGACAACCACUGGAAACAGUGGCUAAUACCGCAUGUGCUUAGUCCAUUCGGUUGGUUAAGUAAAGACUGAGGCGCUUCGGGAGGGCCUGCGGUCGAUUAGCUAGUUGGUGAGGUAAUAGCUCACCAAGGCGAUGAUCGAUAGGGGCGGUGAGAGCGUGACCCCCACCACUGGGACGUGAGGACACGGCCCGAC